AAAAACAUAGCUAUAAGUACAUAUUUAUAGUUAUACCUGCCCAAUGUAAAAUUUUAUUAAUGGCCGCGGUACCCUGACCGUGCUAAGGUAGCGUAAUAAGUUGGCUUUUAAAUGGAGUCAGGUAUGAAUGGAUGAACUGGGUUUAGCUGUCUCCAAUUUACUCUAUUGAAUUUACUUUGCAAGUGAAAAAGCUUGCUUACAAUAAAGGGACGAGAAGACCCUUAAAAUUUUUUUUAAAAUAUUUUUAUAAAUAUUACAAUUUUGUUGGGGCGACAUAGAAAUAAUAAUAACUUUCUAUAAUAAAUUAGCCGGAUAUUUCAAGCUAGAAUAAAUUACUUAAGGGAUAACAGCAUAAUUCUAUAAUUGGGUUUGUGACCUCGAUGUUGGACUAGGAAGCUAACAGGUUAGGUGCUUGUUUUGGGGAUUCUGUUCGAAUUUUGACUCCUACGUGAGCU
rnacentral:rRNA from 1 species